rnacentral:lncRNA from 1 species
UGCUGGAUUCCUAUGUGGCAUAAGAGAUGGCACAUGGAUGUCUAUAUAAUCCAUGGGAGAUACCUUUACUUCAAGGCUUCAUGCAGUGACAGAUGGUGCAAAUGUAGCACACAGUGUGAUCCUGCAGAAUGGAGAGCUCAGCUAUAGGAGCAACACCAAUUUUCCAUAUGUUCAGGUCCUGGGCAUGGUGCUAGGACAAAUGGUUGGGAAGGAACAGCUUUUGAUGGGGCCAGUGUCUCUACUGAGCCUGAAUAGGUAACCUAUUGCCCACCUCCUAACAAGGCUAAAGGAAGAUGUGCUGAAUCACUAAAAAGAUGUUGUGGUGGUCAGACAUAACUUCAGAGAAGUCAGUGGUGCCAUAACAUGAAGACGUUUCUCGAGCAUUGUUAGUCUGCAGUUCAUUUCAUUGUGUACGUGGUAUAGGUUUCUCUUGCCACACCCUCAGGAAAGAUAGUGUAUUGGUAAUUCUCCUGCACUAGGAAGUAGAUGCAGGCAGUUGCUGCUUUUCUUUGGCUGACAUCUCUUUUGUUUCAACAUCAAGUCCACAACUAACACUUUUUAUAGUACCAUCAGAAUCCCAUUUCGGUACUUAGAGAAAUCUCUUCUCUUACGAGAAUUAUUAAUAGUUCAAAACAGGCAAAACAAAAUGGAUAGGCAUGUUUACAAACGUUAUAAUAACUAUAGGCUUAAAGAGCAAAAACAGAGGACUCCAGAAAUGAUUUUAAAAGGCAAAAGUCAUUAUACUCACAGUAAGAAAAACAUAACAUAUUUGGCAUAAAACAAGAAAAAUAAAAGAUUGCCAAAAG